rnacentral:misc_RNA from 1 species
AACAUCGCGCACCUGCGGGAACCUGCGGAAGGAUCAUUACCGAGUGAGGGCCCUCCGGGUCCAACCUCCCACCCGUGUUUAACGAACCUUGUUGCUUCGGCGGGCCCGCCUCACGGCCGCCGGGGGGCACCCCGCCCCCGGGCCCGCGCCCGCCGAAGACACCUGUGAACGCUGUCUGAAGUUGCAGUCUGAGACACUAGCUCAAUCAGUUAAAACUUUCAGCAACGGAUCUCAGAUCGG